rfam:Zea mays cultivar B73 chromosome 5, whole genome shotgun sequence.
AUCUGUCAGUGAUGAUACAACAAUUCAGCUUAAAACGCCAGUUCUGCUUCUGAUAAUUCAUGACUGAUAAAGCUGAUUCGUAUCUGAGCCUCAA